rnacentral:lncRNA from 1 species
AUUUCUGAAAACUAACCUUUGGUAUUUGGCUUGAAAUGCAGUUGGCAAAGAGCCCAAAGGAUUAAGUUCUCAGCAAUGCUGCUCCUGCUGCACACUAAUACUAAUUAGUCUCUAAAUGAAUGAACCUGGUGACUGAACUUGCAGCCCUAUAAGCAGAGGUCUGGACAUCCUUGGACAUCCUUGUGCCCCUCUGCUGCCCAGAGCCCACUGGGUUUUCCAUGUCUGUAUCCAGAACCACAGCAGAGAAUCACUGCAGCCCACUGCAUUCAGCUUAUUGCACCACAGCUGAUUCCAUUUUCAAAAAUUCAGCUUUGGCUCUUGAAAAACUUGGACUUCUGGAUGUCUGAAGACCUGCAUGGUAUGUACCUGCAGAUACGAAGUUUAAGAAGUGGGAACUGGAGCAGCUGAAACACCAGGGAACAAGAGGAAUGCUGUUCAAGGAAGGAUGGCUGCAGUCUGGAAUGGCAGGAGGAAGCUGAGGGGAGAAGGUUAAUGCCCAGGAGGAGGGUGUGGAAAUGCAAUUGGAGAGGAAAGAACAGCAGGAGCUGUGACCAAGAUUGUGGAAUUGUAGAUUUGUUGGGGGAAAUAGAAGCUAAAGAGAAGUUGGGUAGAAAGGGGUGAAGGAAGAUGGGGAAUGUAGGGAAGCAAGUAGUGAAGACAAAGAUUUCUAGGACAUUUGAAAUAUUAUAUAUAACAAAUGGAAAACUCAUGGAACCCCAGAAGGGGUUGCUUUAGCAGAGCAG